GCCUGGGAGGGUGAGACAGAAGCAGUUUGUGCGGUUAAGGGCUAAGCCCCUCCUCGUCUUUACAGGGAGAAGUGACCCUCCAGCUCAGCGAGCAAUGCCGGCGUGGGGACAAUUUGGGUUCCUUUUAGCAAAUUGGAAAGGUGCCCAGUCCCAGAUGCAGCUGGUGGAGUCUGGGGGGGGCUGGUAGAAAUGAACGGGAGUGCAUCCGGCUCCCCUGUAAUGGCACCGGGCUCGCCUUCAACACCUAUUGAAUACACUGGUAUCGUCAGAGUCGCGGGAAAGGACUGCUGUUUGUCUCACGUAUUGACUAGGAUGGGUCUAGUUCUUGUUAAGUGGAUUGGGGUUCAAGGGCGAUUCACCAUCUCCAGAGACAACGCCAAGAGUGAGCUGUACCUGGGAAUGAGCAGCCUGAGAUGGGAGGACACCGCCCGGGAAACCACACGGUGAGAGCUGACUUCCGAACAGCUAGAGGAAGACAUGCAGCGUCUGGCUACUUACCGACACGGCUUCUCCGCCGGGUUCUGGGGGCGCCUGCAGCCGAAGAUAAGGAAGACCUCUAGAGGGCUCCCCGACUAUUUAUGUAGGGUGCCCUUUCCCAGCUGCAGCUGGUGGCCUCCGGCCCUGAGGUGGGGAAGGUCUCCGAGCUCCUCCCACUGACCUGCGCUGUCUCCGGGGUCUCCAUCACUUCUCGGGAUUACG